rnacentral:rRNA from 1 species
AUUGAACGCUGGCGGCAUGCCUUACACAUGCAAGUCGAACGGUAACGGGCCUUCGGGUGCCGACGAGUGGCGAACGGGUGAGUAAUACAUCGGAACGUGCCCGAUCGUGGGGGAUAACGAGGCUAAAGCUUUGCUAAUACCGCAUACGAUCUACGGAUGAAAUCAGGGGACCGCAAGGCCUUGCGCGGACGGAGCGGCCGAUGGCAGAUUAGGUAGUUGGUGGGAUAAAAGCUUACCAAGCCGACGAUCUGGAGCUGGUCUGAGAGGAUGAUCAGCCACACUGGGACUGAGACACGGCCCAGACUCCUACGGGAGGCAGCAGUGGGGAAUUUUGGACAAUGGGCGCAAGCCUGAUCCAGCCAUGCCGCGUGCAGGAUGAAGGCCUUCGGGUUGUAAACUGCUUUUGUACGGAACGAAAAGCCUUCUUUUAAUACAGGAGGGUCAUGACGGUACCGUAAGAAUAAGCACCGGCUAACUACGUG